AAUGUGAGAGAAAUGAUUUUGAAGUGCAUUGCAGAUAUGUAAUUCACACAUGUACUGGAAGAUACUGUAUUCUAAUUGGUGGCACAUUUGUAUCUAUAUUAUCAUAUAACAACAGCGAAGGCUGCUGCAGCUGGGGAAGCUGCUAAAACCGAACGAA
rnacentral:lncRNA from 1 species